AAUUUUGGGCAAUGGGCGCAAGUCUGAUCCAGCUAUGCUGCGUGAGAGAAGAAGGCCUUCGGGUAGUAAAGCUCUGUCGGACGGAAAGAAAUCGCGCUGGCUAAUACCCGGCGCGGAUGACGGGACCGGUUUAAGAAGGACGUCCUAACGACGUGCCAGCAGCCGCGGUAAUACGUAGGGUGCGAGCGUUAAUCGGAAUUACUGGGCGUAAAGCGUGCGCAGGCGGUUGAUUAAGACAGGCGUGAAAUCCCCGGGCUUAACCUGGGAACUGCGCUUGUGACUGGUCAGCUAGAGUACGGCAGAGGGGGGUGGAAUUCCACGUGUAGCAGUGAAAUGCGUAGAGAUGUGGAGGAACACCGAUGGCGAAGGCAGCCCCCUGGGCCGAUACUGACGCUCAUGCACGAAAGCGUGGGUAGCAAACAGG
rnacentral:rRNA from 1 species